GAUGAAGAACGCAGCGAAAUGCGAUACGUAAUGUGAAUUGCAGAAUUCAGUGAAUCAUCGAAUCUUUGAACGCACAUUGCGCCCGCCAGCACUCUGGCGGGCAUGCCUGUUCGAGCGUCAUUUCAACCCUCAGAACCCCUUUGGGGGAUCUGGCGUUGGGGAUCGGCAGUCCUGCCGGCCCCGAAAUAUAGUGGCGGUCUCUCUGUGACCUUCCCUGUGUAGUAGCGAUACCUCGCAGCGGGAUAGCAGUUUGGCCACGCCGUAAAACACCCAACUUCUCAAGGUUGACCUCGAAUCAGGUAGGAAUACCCGCUGAACUUAAGCAUAUCAAUAAGCGAGGA
rnacentral:misc_RNA from 1 species